rnacentral:rRNA from 1 species
GACGAACGCUGGCGGCGUGCUUAACACAUGCAAGUCGAACGGAAAGGCCCUGCUUUUGUGGGGUGCUCGAGUGGCGAACGGGUGAGUAACACGUGGGUAACCUGCCCUUGACUUUGGGAUAACUUCAGGAAACUGGGGCUAAUACCGGAUAGGAGCUCCUGCUGCAUGGUGGGGGUUGGAAAGUUUCGGCGGUUGGGGAUGGACUCGCGGCUUAUCAGCUUGUUGGUGGGGUAGUGGCUUACCAAGGCUUUGACGGGUAGCCGGCCUGAGAGGGUGACCGGCCACAUUGGGACUGAGAUACAGCCCAGACUCCUACGGGAGGCAGCAGUGGGGAAUAUUGCACAAUGGGCGGAAGCCUGAUGCAGCAACGCCGCGUGCGGGAUGACGGCCUUCGGGUUGUAAACCGCUUUCGCCUGUGACGAAGCGUGAGUGACGGUAAUGGGUAAAGAAGCACCGGCUAACUACGUG